rnacentral:lncRNA from 1 species
UUGAGUUGUGUGUAUAAUGAAAAUGUUGUUGUUAAACACAUGAAAUUUGAUUGAAUUGUUGGAAUAAUGAAAAUGUUGUUGUUAAACCUAUGAGAUUUGAUUGAAUUGUGUGAAUGAUGAAAAUGUAGAUGUUAAACCUUUAAAUUUUAUUGAAUUGUGGGAAUGAUGUAAAUGUUCCUGUUAAAUCCAUGGAGUUUGAUUGAAUUCUGUGAAUGAUGAAAAUAUUGUCGUUAAACCCAUGAAAUUUUUAUGAGUUGUGUGAACGAUAAAAAUAUUGUUCUUAAACCCAUGAAAUUUGAUUGAAUUGUGUGAAUGAUGAAAAUGUUGUUGUUGUUAAAUUCAUGAAAUCUGAUUGAAUUGUGUUAAUGAUGAAAAUGUUGAUAUUAAACAAAUGAAAUUUGAUAGAAUUGUGUGAAUAAUGAAAAUGUUGUUGUUGUUGAACCCAUGAAAUUUGAUUGAAUUGUAUGAAUGAUGAAAAUGUUGUUGUUGUUAAACCUAUGAAAUUCGAUUAUUGAACUGUAUGAAUGAUGAAAAUGUUGUCGUUGAACCCGUGAAAUUUGAUUGAAUUGUCUGAAUGAUGAAAAUGUAGUUGUUAAACCCAUGAAAUUUGAUUAAAUUAUGGGAAUGAUGAAAAUGUUUUAUUAAACCCAUGAAAUUUGAUUGAGUUGUGUGUAUAAUGAAAAUGUUGUUGUUAAACACAUGAAAUUUGAUUGAAUUGUUGGAAUAAUGAAAAUUUCGUUGUUAAACCUAUGAGAUUUGAUUGAAUUGUGUGAAUGAUGAAAAUGUUGAUGUUAAACCUUUAAAUUUUAUUGAAUUGUGGGAAUGAUGUAAAUGUUCCUGUUAAAUCCAUGGAGUUUGAUUGAAUUCUGUGAAUGAUGAAAAUAUUGUCGUUAAACCCAUGAAAUUUGAUUGAGUUGUGUGUACGAUAAAAAUAUUGUUCUUAAACCCAUGAAAUUUGAU